GAAAUGCGAUAAGUAAUGUGAAUUGCAGAAUUCAGUGAAUCAUCGAAUCUUUGAACGCACAUUGCGCCCGCCAGUAUUCUGGCGGGCAUGCCUGUUCGAGCGUCAUUACAACCCUCAGGCCCCCGGGCCUGGCGUUGGGGAUCGGCGGAAGCCCCCUGCGGGCACAACGCCGUCCCCCAAAUACAGUGGCGGUCCCGCCGCAGCUUCCAUUGCGUAGUAGCUAACACCUCGCAACUGGAGAGCGGCGCGGCCACGCCGUAAAACACCCAACCUCUGAAUGUUGACCUCGAAUCAGGUAGAAAUACCCGCUGAAGUUAAGC
rnacentral:misc_RNA from 1 species